GACGAACGCUGGCGGCGUGCUUAACACAUGCAAGUCGAACGGAAAGGCCCUGCUUGCAGUGUACUCGAGUGGCGAACUGGUGAGUAACACGUGGGUGAUCUGCCCUGCACUUCUUGUUAAGCCUUGGAAACUGUGUCUAUUACCUGAUAGGUGCCAUUUUUAUUUUUAUGGUUGUUAAGUUUUUUCGGUGUGGGAUGAGCUGGCGGCCUAUCAGCUUGUUGUUGGGGUAAUGGCCUACCUAGGCGGCUACUGGUAGCCGGACUGAGAGGGUGGAAGGCCAAAGUGGGAAUGAGAGAAGGACAAGACACCUAAGGGAGGAAGAAGUGGGGAAUAAUGCAAAAGGGGAGCAAGCCUGAUGCAGAGAAGCCGAGUGGGGGAUGACGGGCUUCGGGUUGUAAAAAACAAUCGCAAGGGAAGAAGCUUUUUGUGACGGUACCUAGAUAAGAAGCACCGGCUAACUACGUG
rnacentral:rRNA from 1 species